rnacentral:rRNA from 1 species
CCUACGGGUGGCAGCAGUGAGGAAUAUUGGUCAAUGGGCGCGAGCCUUAACCCGCCAAGUAGCGUGAAGGAUGACUGCCCUCCGGGUUGUAAACUUCUUUUAUAACGGAAUAAAGUUAUGCACGUGUUCCUUUUUGUAUGUACUUUAUGACUAAGGAUCGGCUAACUCCGUGCCAGCAGCCGCGGUAAUCCGUAGGAUCCGAGCGUUAUCCGGCUUUAUUGGGUUUAAAGGCACCGUAGAUGGGUUGUUAAGUAAGUUGUUAAAGUUUGCGGCUCAACCGGAAAAUUUCAAUUGAUACUGGCAGCCUUGAGUAAAGUUGAGGUAGGCGGAAUUCGUGGUGUAGCGGUGAAAUGCUUAGAUAUCACGAAGAACUCCGAUUGCGAAGGCAGCUUACUAAACUGCCACUGACAUUGAUGCUCGAAAGUGUGGGUAUCAAACAGGAUUAGAUACCCCUGUAGUC